CCCUACCUCACCCAAUCACGCACCCAGCUCCUCCCCAAUCCCCUCCCGUUCUUCUCAUGGCGCGUCUGGCGGCGCCGCUCUGCUUCCCUGCUGCCCACCCUUCUCCUUCUCCCACUCCCCAUCUCCAACCUCCAGCCCCCGCGCUGCUCUGCCUCCCUCGACGGCCGCCGGCCAGCAGGAGUAGCGCACCGCCGGCGCAAGCAGGAGGGGCUGCUGGAGCUCCGCCCUUGAUGGUGAUGGCGGACUCGAGCUCACGCCGGAGACCUCCACAGCGGCAGCGCGGGCGACCUCCCUAGCCGCGUUUCUGGAGGCAGAGGACGGCGCAGCUCCACCACCUCGCUCGCAGCGCAAGGACACCCGCUUCCUGCUCCUCUUGGCUGGCCAUCCCUGUCUUCUGCACAGCCUGACGCCUUCCCCACCAUGAGAAGACAGGGGAGAGGAAGGCAUGGUCUGCAACGUCCAUCCAUGGCCCCUCUACAUGGAGCGGCAGCCAGCCAUGUGCAGCUUCCUCUGGCCCAACCCAUCUCUCCACGUCCAUGCCUUUGCUGAUUUGAGAUGUGUUUUUGCAUCUAUGCAUAUGAACUGUUUGAGGAAAUGUCUAAGCAGGCUGCAUAUAAAUUGUUUGAGGAAAUGUCUAAGCAGGUUGCACGAACAAAAUAUCUACCUUUUUAGGGCUAUUUUGUCGUCUUUUCUUACCUAUGAUGGUCAAGCUGGUUAUGUUUCUUACCGUCAGAGCUAGAAUCUUAACCCUUACAGUGGUGGUGGUUGUUGUCUUGUACAACUUGCCACAAAUCAGUGAUUGCACAUGGUGCUCAAUACACAUACUCUAAUUUAAAUGUUUUGUUGUUGCUGCAUUGCAUUGCCGAGGUACUGAGAGCAGCUACCUUGACAUAGGGCAUGCUCCCGAGGAAGGGGUUGAGGAGGUCAGGGUGAGGGGGAGAGAGAGACUCCCCCAGUUUUAGCUUGUGGCUCUGGUGUACUAGACAAAUUAGCUUAUAUGCUCCUAUUGCGGAAAUUAAUUGAUUAUGAAGCAAAUAAGAUGACGUUGGUCUGUCCCUAAUGCCUUCUUUCAAGCCCUGGUGAGUUCAGAUGUUCUACUUCUCAUAGCUACUUAUGAGCCAUAUUUACAGAUCUGUAAUGAUUAUGCAAUUAUAUUUUGUCUUGCCGCUUUUCAUUUUUAUUCUAGGUCAUUUGUUUAGCCAAAAAAAUGUUGGUUUACCUUUCAUCUAAAGAAAGUGUUUCUAAAAUUGUUAACAUUCUGCCUUAGUAUUCCUGAUGUUGCGUACAUGGUUUCAUGCGUUUCUUUUACCUCCCUUUGAUUAUCGUUCAGCAAAUGUUUGAAUGACGAUGUCCAUGCUCUAGAAAGUUUCGAUCAAAUUUCGUUGUAUAUGAACCAAGAUCUACAGAUGUCCAUGCUCUACAGGUUACAUGGUGUACGGUACAGUUCUGGGAGUUAGCUGAUGACAGUAUAUUUGCACUUUUAUUUUGGUGCUUAACAGAGGUAAAUAAAUUGCAGUCUUAUUUUAUUUCUUUGUGCUAAAAAUUCAAGAAAUGAUAUGUUGUACUUGGUUUAUGAGUAUUUCUUGUAUAGAGAAAGCUUUAUAUACAUAUAAGCAUUACUAUUUUGGUUGUCCAUAUAUGGCACCACCAUAUGUGCAUUGAAUUCUGGACCCUAUAUAUAGAAAAAAUUAUCUUCCUUUACUUCACGAUCAGAUAUUCUUUCACAUGGAUCAUAAAUAGCCUGCGGUCUUCUUCUUUGUAUUCUUGUUUAUUCUUAUGCAGUUUAUGUUUUUUCGCUCUUUAGGUUUGUAACUGAAAAUCCAUGUGAUAUAAUUGCAGUCAGUUGCAGGUGUUAACAGUAUUCAUGUGCACCAAUGAAAUAUUAACAGAGAGGCUUGGUUCGAGGCUCUUUUAGCAUUUCUGGCAGAGAAGAAGAUAUGGAACAAAUGCUAACUAGCUUCCCUUUGUAGAGCUGGUGCUAGCUAACUUCCUUUCUUUCUCUUUUGACAAUUGCUCGAUCGCUGCAUGUGUUACAAAAUUUCUUUUUCCUAAAGAAAUUAUCAAGCUUGCUUGCUUGGCCAUGGGCAUUUUAAAUUGUGGUGAACAAACAAGUCUCAACCAAGUGUUACAUACAGUUUAUUUGUGUCAUGAUGCUAUAUAUAUGAACUUUGGAUGCAAUAGUUUCAUUCAAAUUUCACCACCAUCUUAUUUCAGCACCUUAUGAGCAAAUGCGCUGCUUUGUUUUUCCUGAGAAGUCAUAUAAUGCUACCUGGGUAUAACAUUGUGAGAGUCUAUUAUUUUCAAGCAUAUAUGUACUGAUUCAGUAGAAGGUGGUGUCAGUUUAGUUCAUUUAUCCUAACUGAGUCUUUUAGUUGGAUACCAUGCGCAUUGCUUGCCUAUUUAUUCCAUUUUCUUCUAAAAUUCUGAAUAUUGAUGGUUUUCUUGCUGUCUUGAAUUUGUCUGAUGGAAACUUCUCUCCCCUAACUCAGUAGCUUCCGUUUGCAGUAACAAGCAUUGAUGAUAUAGGUCUCUACUGUUCCCCAACUUAGAAGCUUCCGUUUUCAGUAUGUGGUUUUCACAUGUGUUUCCAUAUCACUGAUAGGUAAAACCAAUUUUAUGUCCAAUACAAAUUGGCACAGAAGAACAUGAUUAGGAGGGAAGAGUUACCGCUUUGGAGUUUGAUAAUUUUAAAUUGGCCAAUGCUUAAUUUUGGCCGUGGUUCACAUAGACUGCAUGAGGUCACUUCUGCAUUAGGUAAACCUUCUGGUUUCUUCUGCCUGUACAGCUAACGUGUUAGUCAGAUAUGUGAGUUAUUUCUACCAUUUUGUUAUCCGUAUCUUCGAAUCAUAUGCUUUGAAUAAUCCAGUGAGUUAUCCAUGUCAUGUAAUGCCUUCGUUGUGAGGCAAGGUUGCGGUGUCGUGGCUGCAGGCAGAGCAGCCAACAGAGGCCUUCAGUGUCUACUACUUUUUCAUUGUUGCAUGCGCUGCUUCGAGAUCUAGCGGCACAACGACCCUACUUGAGUUCAUGAUCCCUGCACAAUGUCUGUUGCUGAAGUUUGCAUACAGAUCAUUUUGCCGUUGAGGCUGUUGAUAUUCACAAGCAAGUAAAAUGCCGAGGAGCACGGGAAAAGGCAAACCACGACCACGUGGCUCCGAUAAAAUCUGGGUAUGUAGAAACAUAUCUUUAGGAAGAACAAUUCUGGGUAGAAGCAUACCGUGACUUGUUGAGCCUGUUAUUGAUGAUCCUGAUCCAGGCAAAGGGACCAUUAUCAGUAGUCCUGACAACAAGUCUAUCAUUUGGUGUUUCGCAACACUGGUCAUAAUGUUCAGAUCCAAAAUUCUUCAGAUUUGGGGAUUCUGAAUUCCCGAUGUACCAAUGAAAAUAGCAAUGAGUGACAUAGGUUGCUUGGAAAAUAUGUCGUGCCUUGCAAGUUCCUGAGUAUUGUGGUUAACAAGAGGAUCUAUGUGGUACAUGUGACAGUUGUCGCGAAUACAGAUUGAAGAAGUUUAAACUAUAUAGCUUGAAUUAGAGGGACAAUGUUUGUAUUCAGAAGUACAUGCUGUCUUUGAUUUACCAUUCUUCCUAAGCUAAACCAAACUGAGAGAGAUCCGAGGGGAAGAAAAAAGAUGCACCUGAUUGAGACGGCGACCUGGUAAAAUAGCACGCCGGUCUCCACGCCGAUGAGGACACUGGACCCGUUCCGCUGGCGCCGUCAAGCACCUCAACAAGCCUUUGGUUUCUGGUGGCAAGAGAACUGACACUCAGUGUCAAGGUCAUCAUGCAAGGAGCCACCACCUAUGGACAGCAGCAACGCCAUGGAUCUAGACAGCGCGG